GCCUCGGUAGUAUAGUGGUCAGUUUCCCCGCCUGUAACGUGGGAGACCGGGGUUUCAAUUUCCCGCCGGGGAG
rfam:Daphnia magna strain Xinb3 contig25578, whole genome shotgun sequence.